GUUGGAUUUAUUUUAUUCUCCAUUUUUUUAAAUAAAGAAUUAGCAGCAUGCUAUUUUAUUUUUUACUAAUGCAAACAAACUUUCACUAUUAUUGUAUUGCUGAUCUUAAGCAGGAAACACCUAUUGUGCAGCUCAGUUGAUACAUGUAAGCAAACAGUGCAUUGCAACACUAUCAAACAGAGACACUGUGCUGAGGAUGUUGCGCUCUCAGGUGUGAAUGAGUUUUUUUUUAAGCAUAUUUAGAUCCUCUACAUGUGAACCUGAUGCAUUGAACUCUAGGUGACAAAACCUAUGAAACGGGAUAGCCCUGGAUUAUUUUACCCCAAAAUUAUCCAAACAGGUGCCUCCGAUGAGCUCACCAAAUGAAUGUGCAUAACACAAACGACAUGGAGGAAACACAAAAGCCCAAUGCUCAUUUUCUUUCACCGAAAAUGUGUGGCUCCCCCAAAAAGUUUCUAGUUUCACUCACUCCUCUGGCAUUUACGAUUAAUUCAUUCCGCUUGCCCCCAGGUACAUGAAAAAACACUUUAAUAUUGUGCUGUUUUUUUCCCAUUUUUUAAAAAAAAAAUGUAUUUCAAAAGCCACUGCUGUCAAAAUGAUCUCUUAUUACCUAAAAAGCACUGUUAGUCAUAUUGGUAAAGGGGGGUUUAUUGGGGAUCACUGAAUAUGCAACCUCAGGGCUUGAAAGAGGAAUAUCAAAGUCAUGCGAUACGAUGCGGCAUUCGCUAAUUUCUGCAUCUGAAAACCGGAUAUUUGAGAUAGUCCUUUCAUGCAUCUGUAAUGACCGUGACAUGCUCGUAGAUGGAGACAGGAGAGGGAUGAAUCUCAGGGGAAACAGAGAGGUUACGGCACUGAGUUAUGGGAAUAUUGACAUGCGACGUGACAACCAUGUGCUAAAUAGACCCUCGUUUGGCCCACAGGGUGAGAGAGUCCCUUGGGAUGAGGGGAUGUGGAGACUGGGAACAAAGCGCUCAGGAACAGACAGAGCCGUCUAUAGAAUUCUGAGCGAGUGCCUUAGGAUGUGUGCAACAGGACCAAGUGUGGGAAAGUCCACGGAGGAGAUCCCUGCUCUCUUAAAACUCACUGUAUGCUAUUCAUUCUAAGAAGUAAACAGUACACAGCCUGCUGAUGCCAAAUUUAAGAUCACACUUGAUCUUCAGAGGAUGGACGCUGCCCUCUAGCGGAAAACUAAUGAAUUAAAAUGUAUGUAUUACAUCAAUUUCUUUAUUUGACCAAGAAAAAAAAGUUUAGAUAAAAUUAAUCCUUCAAUAUGAACUCUUUUAGAGGUUCUACUUUAAAAGCAAAUUAUGUGAAAAGCAAAAAGCAGAAAAAAAAUAUGAAACAAGCAAAAAUAGAAGCACUAAGGUUGAAAAGGUACAACUUAAACAAAAGCACAUAAAGGAAUAGUUCACCCAAAGAUGAAAAUUUGCUGGCCUCAGGCCAUCCAAGAUGUAGAUGAGUUUGUUUCUUCAUUGAAACACAUUUGGAAAAAUUUAGCUUUACAUCACUUGAUCACCAGUGGAUCCUCUGCAGUGAAUGGGUGCUGUCAGCAUAACAAACAGCUGAUGAAAACAUCACAGUAAUCUACAAGUAAUUCACAUGACUCCAGUCCAUCAGUUAACAUCUUGUGAAGCGAAAAGCUGCAUGUUUGUAUAAAAACAAAUCCAUCAUUAAGAUGUUUUUUAAGAUGUCAUUUCU
ensembl:lncRNA